CAUUAAUGUAAAGGAUAUUCUGGGUCAUGAUGGAACAUUCACAGUUCAGAGAAAAGUCUCAACCUAUGAACGAGAGAUUUUGGCAGCGUGUAAUCUUGAAGAAAAUGGUGUAAAUCUCGGGCAUAUAAUGACUGGAUCAGCAAAUAAUAAUCAAACUGUCAAUGGCAUAAGCUUAAAAAAAGAAGAAAAUCUAUCAAGCUUCUUGAGUUUUUUUAACAUUCUUGUUACAUUACUGAGAUUCAAGACAAGGUUGCAACAGAAAUCGAAAAAACAACAAAAAUGAGAAACAAUGUCACAAAUGUUGUAGAAUUUGCAAACGGUGUGAGUGAAGAAAGCCUACAAAAGAUGCAGAAUCUUCAUGCAGAUUUCAACGGAACUAUCAUGCAGUUCCAGUGGAUGAAACUUUUAGGUGGAAACAAUACCAUCAGACGCAAGAUUUAUAUGCUUUGCGGGGUGAUGAUGUAUCUACUGGUUAUGAUGUGAAGAAAGGAGAUUACCAUACCUUAUCAGCCAUAUGCAAUAGGGAGGGUCAAGUUUGAUGCAUUCGAACCAGAAAGAUGGUUUCAUCACAUUGUUGCUUUCAUCCACAAAGCUUCUUUAAGUUUACAGUUUUGCAGUCAACCUUCAAGUUAUGUCAUAUGACCAAAGCAAAAGUUUUGACAUGAUUUACUAUUUUGAUGAAGAAACACAAGAGGGACAAAGAAUUUGUUUGGCUCAAGAAUUUGCGUAUGUGCAGAUGAAGAUCUUUGUUUCUAUUUAGUUAAGUUAUUUCAAUUUCAAGGUGAAUGAAAACAAAAGUGCAAAUGCUUAAUCUUCACAUUGAUGGUGAAACAGAGUUGAUCCAUGAUCUAGCAUACUCGUAUUUGGUGCAAUUAGACACACGGAAGUGGAUUGGAAAAUG